UUGAACGCUGGCGGCAUGCCUAACACAUGCAAGUCGAACGGGGCAGCAAUGCCUAGUGGCGGACGGGUGAGGAAUACGUAGGAAUCUGCCCUUAAGUGGGGGAUAACCAGGGGAAACCCUGACUAAUACCGCAUGAUCUCUUCGGAGCAAAGAGGGGGACCGCAAGGCCUCUCGCUUCUGGAUGAGCCUACGUCUGAUUAGCUAGUUGGUAGGGUAAAGGCCUACCAAGGCGACGAUCCAUAGCUGGUCUGAGAGGAUGAUCAGCCACACCGGAACUGAGACACGGUCCGGACUCCUACGGGAGGCAGCAGUGGGGAAUAUUGGACAAUGGGGGCAACCCUGAUCCAGCCAUGCCGCGUGUGUGAAGAAGGCCUUCGGGUUGUAAAGCACUUUAAGUGGGGAGAAAGGCUCCAAAGUUAAUACCUUUGGGGAUUGAUGCUACCCACAGAAUAAGCACCGGCUAACUCUGUGCCAGCAGCCGCCGUAAGAC
rnacentral:rRNA from 1 species